CUAAGUUCCAGGGAAGGAGGCAGCUGAGUUCCCUGUGUCCACUGUGUGGUUGUACAGGUUGCUGACUGCAGAGUCCUCCAGUUGAAUAGUCAGCAGUGGAAGUGGGGAGUCUGUUCUCUGCCCCACUUCAGGGCUGCCCAGGAUCUGCAUGCACUUUGUAGAGAUGGAAAUUUUUCCUCCCUUCUGUCUCCUGCCUUUCAGCUUCUCCUGACUUAUGUUCUUUAGACAGGAUCCCUUUGGCUCUAGGACAGGGGCAGCCUGGUCCUUUCCCAGGGCUUGGAUUUACUGUAGUGGGAAAUCAGGCAGGGUUCUCUGUGGGCAGCCCUGACAGCAUCUUGCUCCUCCCAAGGCCCUGUCCACUGCUUAUACAGGUGAAAGCCUGGGACACAUACCACCAGCUUUACAAAUCCUGUCUCCUAGACACUGAGUCAGGACCCUGGUGAUAGUGAAACAGACUAGAAACCAACCUGGGAGGUCUCCUGCAUUUUUUUUUUGUCUUUGGCUGGGUAAGCCAAAUGCUGAUGGGAGAAGGAGUACUUUAGGUGAUUUCAGAUGAAGCAGAUUUUCUUGUACAGAAUGUUGUUUUCCUAAGAACCUAUUUAAAGGUUUCCUCAGGCCCACUUUUCAGGUGAUGAGGACCUCUUGGUUAGCACCAAGUGUUUAUUGUGUACUAAGUUUUAUAACUUUAGCAAGUGGGCAUGUCACAAUGUUUUACUAAUACUUUAAUAUAGUUCUCUCCAGCUUAAAACAUUUUUCAUACAUAUGAUCUCAUCUGAGCCUCACAAUGACCUCAUGAAUUAGCUGUUAUUAUUUAUAAUUUACAGGAGAGAAAAAUGAGCUCCGAAGUUAGAGGUGGUACUAGGUCAAAAACCUAUGUCUUGAUAAUGACUGCCACCAUUUAUUGAGCACUGGCUAUAUGGUAGGUGAUUUGCAUGUAUUAUUUAUUCUAAUGGAAAUAAUAGGUACCAUGAUGAAGAACAGAAACAUUUUGUAUGGCACUAUUAUUGCAUAUGGGUCUGGAAGAAAGGAAAUUAUGUGUAACUUUAAAGUCUGCGUAGGUUGGUAUGACUUACUCUAUAAAGAGGGAGGGGGUAUUUCCAUAAUCAUAGUACUUAGCACACUACAUUGUAAUUGCCUGUUUACAUGUCUGUGUCCCCCACUAGAUUGUAAGCAGAGAAGUCUGUCUGCUCCCCAUUGUGUCUCCUUUACUUAGUACUGUGUUGGGCACAUAAUAGGCACUCAGUAGACAUUUGCAGAUGAAAAACAACAACAACAACAGCAACAACAUGAUUUUUCAUAUUGGGAAACUGAGGCUUGAUAAGGUUAAGUUACCUGCCCAGUAUCACAGAGCCAGUGAGGAUUCACUCCAGGUCCUCUAAUUCCGAAGCCCAUGUUUGUUCUACUGAGCCAUCCUACUCACUGGUGUCCCUACAGUAACUGGCACAGCACUGGGUAAAUGACGGGAACUCAGUUCAUGCUUGAAUUCUUGCAAUGCUACUUGUAAAUUGUGGGCUUGGGCACUUUGUAACCUCCGCAUUUUUUGAGUAGAGGAGAGAAAUAAUACCUACCUUGCAAGCCUGUUGCAAAGUUUGACCACAUUUAUUAGAUCAUAUAGUCUGGUGGGGGGUCCUCAAAAUGUUGAUGAGCACCAGGGUUAUUCUGGGCCUCUUCUCUGCCUACAGCCUCCCUGGGUGACCUCACCAGGUCCACAUAUCUGCAGAUGACUCUCAAAUGUAAAUUUCCAAAGAACCCUUGACUCUUGAAGCCAAAUGCUUGUCUGGCAUCUCUGCACUGUUGUCUAUCUAAUCAGCUUCUAAAACAUAAUGUGGCUAGAACAAAACUCCUGAUCCUCUUCUGAUCCUGUCUGGCCCCUCAUUUUUCCUUAUCUCAGUAAAUGGCACCACUAUUUCUCCAGUUGUCCGAGCCAAAUAUUCUCAUUAUCUUUUAUUUCUCUCCAUUUUUCCUCACUUCUGAUCAGUGGUAAGCCCUGUCAAUAACAUCUCCCAAACAUAUCCCAAGUCCAAACACUUCUCCAUCCCCACUGCUACCAAUCUCUUCCAAGCCACUAUCCUUUGGACCAUUGCAAUGGCCUGCUAACGUGUCUUUGCAUCUUUGUUUCCCUAGAAUAAGAGAAUGUGAUCUAUUGACACAACAGGCAGGGACAAUAUGAACUCUUUUUGCUGGCUCAUAAAGCCCUAUCCGACCUGAGCUUUGCUUAACUCCUGGCCUCAUCUACUCUCUCCCUUGUUCCCUGUGCUCCUGCCCACUCGCCUUUUAUUUAGGCUAUGCCUGUUUAUGUCUCUACCCUGGCUCCUGCCGUUGCCUGGAAUAUUUCUCCAGAUCUCAACAGGGUUGGUUCAUUCUUGCCAUUUGGACCUUAGCUCAAAUGAUACUUCCUCAGAGAGGCUGUCCUUCAUCACACAGUCUAAAAUAGACACCUGGUCACUGUGCCAUAUCACCUAUGCAGUUGACCACCAACCCCCACAAGAAUGUUGGUGCCGUGAGAUCAGUGAUUUGACUGCCUCGUUCACUCCAUAUCCCCAGUGCUGAGGGCAAUGCUGACAUAUGGGCCCUCAGUAAUUAUUUGUGAAUGAAUAUUUAUGAAUGUUCCGUAACAGUGGCUAUGGUUAUAGUUACGAUCUAUGUGUUCACCUGGCCUCUGAUAGCCCUAGCCAUACCAAACGGUCUAGUCCAGGAAGCUCAGGACACCACUGGCUCUAGGUCUAGACCAGGGUCAGCCCCUGGGGUGUGGAGAUUCAUGAGCUGUAAAACACAGGUUGGUUAACUUACAGGUUGUAUGAGAACUGUCCUCCUUCAAGCUAUUGUUUGAUCACCACAGAGCCAUGUCUUAUUUGACUUUGGGUAAGAUAUCCAACCUUUGUGGGCCUCAUUUUGCUCUUUUGCUAGAUUGUGGAUGAGUACAGCAACCUUUUUGAAUUGUUAUGAAGGAAAAACAGCAUGUAAAGUACUUAGUCCGAUGCUUGGUUGUUUUUCUCCUUGAUGUCUGGUUCCUCACCUUCAGGAGCCUGUCACUUGCUAUCACUUAUAGUUUAACCAAAACAUUAGAUUGUGAAUCUAACAAUAGAAGCCUGCAACUUCUUGUCUACCGAGAAAGUGUACAAGAACUGCUAACUCAUGCCCCCAUGCCUAGCAACAUGGCUUUCUCAACUUUGAAAGGAUUAGAGUCAUCCGUUGGUCUUAGGAACCAAAAACAUUGAUGCAACUCCAAAUAAAAGUAGCAAACAUGUAUUUUUCCACUACCAUAAUAACCCUAAUCCCCUUAAUCUUACCCAUCAUUACUACCUUAGCCAACCCCUAUAAAAAAGGUUCAUAUCCAAAUUACGUAAAAACAUCUAUCGCAUGUGCCUUCAUCAUCAGCCUCAUCCCUACAACAAUGUUUAUAUGUACAGAUCAAGAAGUCAUUAUCUCAAACUGACAGGCAUCAGAGGUUUGCCGAAGCCCAAGGUGCAGAGGUUGUAGUUAGGCUUGGGAUCAGCUGUAUACAUCAACGGACCACAGCAGCAUGUGGGAGACUACAGGAGGGAAUGCACAGUGCCUGGCACAAGGUCAACAGUCAGUGCAUAUGAGCCAUUAUUAUGAUCAUUAUUAUUAUUCAUCUGGUCUAGCUGCUUCAUUUACAGGUGAGGAAGCUGGGGUCCUGAGAGCCUGGGUGACUGCUGGUGCUUUAUGUGAAGUAAGAAGCUGAAAUUGCGGAGUGAGUUUUGAUGUGGCAGUGUGUAUGCUGUCUUGGUUAUCCAGCUGUUUUGACUCGGUUUUGAUGGCAACAUAUACUGACCAUGAAACUCAGAGCAAGUCAGGAGGAGGCAGCCUGGGCCUGGUGGGGCACUUCUCUGAUGUCAACAGGGUCUGCCCACCCUGCCAUCUUUAGUGUGGCUUCCUGCAUCGCCGAUCGACCAAGUGGCAGACCUGAGGGCAAAAGGAAGCCUGAUAUUGGAGUCAGCCCCCUUUGGAAGAACUUUCCCUACAGCCCACCUAGUAACUUCUGAUGAUACCUCCUUGGCCUGAUUUAAUUCAGUGCACCAAAAAUAUUAUCAUUUCAACACAAAACCAAUGCAAACAAAGAAUAUGCCCCUAAAUGAAAUGGUGGGAUCUAGUUUAAUUUUUAUCAAGAGACCUUCCUGAAGCCAAGGGCCCUGGAAAUGGCUGAGUUUCCCUGUGGCUUGGAGCAGAGGGAAAAAGUGGAAAUGAUACCUGUGUUAAGUAACAUCAAGCACCCAGGUCCACUGGCAUGUCUGUUAAUAAAAAAAUUUUUUAAUGUUUUCAUUCAUGUAUCG
rnacentral:lncRNA from 1 species